rnacentral:rRNA from 1 species
UACAGAGGGUGCAAGCGUUGUUCGGAAUUAUUGGGCGUAAAGGGCGCGUAGGCGGCCCUGUGUGUCGGGUGUGAAAGCCCACCUCUUAAAGGUGGAAUUGCAUUCGAAACUACAGGGCUGGAGUGUCGGAGAGGAUGGCGGAAUUCCUGGUGUAGAGGUGAAAUUCGUAGAUAUCAGGAGGAACACCGGUGGCGAAGGCGGCCAUCUGGACGACAACUGACGCUGAGGCGCGAAAGCGUGGGGAUCAAACAGG